rnacentral:rRNA from 1 species
UACGGAGGGGGCUAGCGUUGUUCGGAAUUACUGGGCGUAAAGCGCACGUAGGCGGCUUUGUAAGUUAGAGGUGAAAGCCCAGGGCUUAACCCUGGAAUUGCCUUUAAGACUGCAUCGCUAGAAUCGUGGAGAGGUAAGUGGAAUUCCGGGUGUAGAGGUGAAAUUCGUAGAUAUUCGGAAGAACACCAGUGGCGAAGGCGACUUACUGGACACGUAUUGACGCUGAGGUGCGAAAGCGUGGGGAGCAAACAGG